AUUAGAUGAGCCUGCGUAAGAUUAGCUUGUUGGUGAGGUAAAGGCUCACCAAGGCGACGAUCUUUAGCGGGUCUGAGAGGACGAUCCGCCACAUUGGGACUGAGACACGGCCCAGACUCCUACGGGAGGCAGCAGUGGGGAAUAUUGGACAAUGGGCGCAAGCCUGAUCCAGCCAUACCGCGUGUGUGAAGAAGGCCCUAGGGUUGUAAAGCACUUUAAGUUGGGAAGAAAAGUUAUUGGUUAAUACCCAAUAACCGUGACAUUACCAUCAGAAUAAGGACCGGCUAAUUCCGUGCCAGCAGCCGCGGUAAUACGGAAGGUCCAAGCGUUAAUCGGAAUUACUGGGCGUAAAGCGCGCGUAGGUGGUUUAUUAAGUUGGAUGUGAAAUCCCCGGGCUCAACCUGGGAACUGCAUCCAAAACUGAUUCACUAGAGUACGAUAGAGGGAGGUAGAAUUCACAGUGUAGCGGUGGAAUGCGUAGAUAUUGUGAAGAAUACCAAUGGCGAAGGCAGCCUCCUGGAUCUGUACUGACACUGAGGUGCGAAAGCGUGGGUAGCGAACAGGAUUAGAUACCCUGGUAGUCCACGCCGUAAACGAUGUCAACUAGCUGUUGGAAAACUAUGUUUUUCAGUGGCGCAGCUAACGUAGUAAGUUGACCGCCUGGGGAGUACGGCCGCAAGGCUAAAACUCAAAUGAAUUGACGGGGACCCGCACAAGCGGUGGAGCAUGUGGUUUAAUUCGAUGCAACGCGAAAAACCUUACCUAUACUUGACAUACUUGGAAUGCUUUGUAAUGAAGCAGUGCCUUCGGGAGCCAAGAUACAGGUGCUGCAUGGCUGUCGUCAGCUCGUGUCGUGAGAUGUUCCGUUAAGUCGGAUAACGAGCGCAACCCUUACCCUUAUUUGCCAGCGAUUCGGUCGGGAACUAUAAGGGGACUGCCGGUGAUAAACCGGAGGAAGGUGAGGACGACGUCAAGUCAUCAUGGCCCUUACGUAUAGGGCUACACACGUGCUACAAUGGAGAAUACAGACGGACGCUAAGCCGCGAGGUGGUGCUAAUCCUAGAAAAUUCUUCGUAGUCCGGAUUGGAGUCUGCAACUCGACUCCAUGAAGUCGGAAUCGCUAGUAAUCGCGAAUCAGCAUGUCGCGGUGAAUACGUUCUCGGGUCUUGUACACACCGCCCGUCAUACCAUGGAAGUGGAUUGCACCAGAAGUAGAUAGUCUAACCUUCGGGAGGGCGUUUACCACGGUGUGCUUCAUGACUGGGGUAAAGUCGUAACAAGGUAACCG
rnacentral:rRNA from 1 species